rnacentral:rRNA from 1 species
GACAGAGGGUGCGAACGUUGUUCGGAAUUACUGGGCGUAAAGCGCGUGUAGGCGGCAGCGCAAGUCGGGCGUGAAAUCCCACGGCUCAACCGUGGAAGUGCACUCGAAACUGCGCAGCUAGAGUCCUGGAGAGGAAGGCGGAAUGCUUGGUGUAGAGGUGAAAUUCGUAGAUAUCAAGCGGAACACCGGUGGCGAAGGCGGCCUUCUGGACAGUGACUGACGCUGAGACGCGAAAGCGUGGGGAGCAAACAGG